rnacentral:lncRNA from 1 species
GCAGCUUCUUCCUAUGGACCUUCUCUUCAAAGUACAGAAGAGCGGCCAUAAUGAGAUGAUGAGGGCCAAAGAAAAAUCCUUCGGAUAUCCUGAACAAUGUCUCUAGAAAAGUUCCUCUCCUCUGCACCAUAUGCUGAAGUGGAUAGAUGUUAUGGCGCAUGAGUGCAUCUAUAAAGAACAUGCUUGGAGGGAGCUCCUUCCUCA